rnacentral:rRNA from 1 species
GAUGAACGCUGGCGGCGUGCCUAAUACAUGCAAGUCGAGCGAACAGAUGAGGAGCUUGCUCCUCUGACGUUAGCGGCGGACGGGUGAGUAACACGUGGAUAACCUACCUAUAAGACUGGGAUAACUUCGGGAAACCGGAGCUAAUACCGGAUAAUAUAUUGAACCGCAUGGUUCAAUAGUGAAAGACGGUUUUGCUGUCACUUAUAGAUGGAUCCGCGCCGCAUGAGCUAGUUGGUAAGGUAACGGCUUACCAAGGCAACGAUGCGUAGCCGAGCUGAGAGGGUGAUCGGCCACACUGGAACUGAGACACGGUCCAGACUCCUACGGGAGGCAGCAGUAGGGAAUCUUACGCAAUGGGCGAAAGCCUGUCGGAGCAACGCCGCGGGAGGGAUGAAGGUCUUCGGAUCGUAAAACUCUGUUAUUAGGGAAGAACAAAUGUGUAAGUAACUAUGAACGUCUUGACGGUACCUAAUCAGAAAGCCACGGCUAACUACGUG